CAGUAGCCACGGUAAUACGGAGGGAGCUAGCGUUGUUCGGAAUUACUGGGCGUAAAGCGCGCGUAGGCGGUUACUCAAGUCAGAGGUGAAAGCCCGGGGCUCAACCCCGGAACUGCCUUUGAAACUAGGUGACUAGAAUCUUGGAGAGGUCAGUGGAAUUCCGAGUGUAGAGGUGAAAUUCGUAGAUAUUCGGAAGAACACCAGUGGCGAAGGCGACUGACUGGACAAGUAUUGACGCUGAGGUGUGAAAGCGUGGGGAGCAAACAGGAUUAGAUACCCGUGUAGUCCCUGUCUCUUAUAC
rnacentral:rRNA from 1 species